AGGUUGGCUUAGAAGCAGCCAUCCUUUAAAGAAAGCGUAAUAGCUCACUAGUCGAAUCGGCCUGCGCGGAAGAUAUAACGGGGCUCAAACUAUACACCGAAGCUACGGACGCAUGCUUGCAUGCGUGGUAGAGGAGCGUUCUGUAGGCCGUUGAAGGGAAAGCUGAGAGGCAUCCUGGAGGUAUCAGAAGUGCGAAUGCUGACAUGAGUAACGAUAAGGGGAGUGAAAAGCUCCCCCGCCGGAAGACCAAGGUUUCCUAUCCAAUGCUAAUCAGGGUAGGGUGAGUCGGCCCCUAAGGCGAGGCUGAAGAGCGUAGUCGAUGGGAAGCAGGUUAAUAUUCCUGCACCACUCAAUAUUGCGAAGGAGGGACGGAGAAGGCUAGUCCAGCGCGGCGUUGGUUGUCCGCGUUUAAGCGUGUAGGCUUAAAUCUUAGGUAAAUCCGGGAUUUUUUAAGGCUGAGGCGUGAUGACGAGGUCCAUUAGGACUGAAGUGGUUGAUGCCAUGCUUCCAGGAAAAGCUUCUAAGCAUCAGAUAUUGAGUGACCGUACCCCAAACCGACACAGGUGGUCAGGUAGAGAAUACCAAGGCGCUUGAGAGAACUCGGGUGAAGGAACUAGGCAAAAUGGUACCGUAACUUCGGGAGAAGGUACGCCGCUGAUGGUGAUGGGACUUGCUCCCUAAGCUGUUGGCGGCCGAAGAUACCAGGUGGCUGCGACUGUUUAUUAAAAACACAGCACUGUGCAAACACGAAAGUGGACGUAUACGGUGUGACGCCUGCCCGGUGCCGGAAGGUUAAUUGAUGGGGUUAGCUUCGGCGAAGCUCUUGAUCGAAGCCCCGGUAAACGGCGGCCGUAACUAUAACGGUCCUAAGGUAGCGAAAUUCCUUGUCGGGUAAGUUCCGACCUGCACGAAUGGCGUAACGACGGCCACACUGUCUCCACCCGAGACUCAGUGAAAUUGAAAUCGCUGUUAAGAUGCAGUGUAUCCGCGGCUAGACGGAAAGACCCCGUGAACCUUUACUAUAGCUUCACAGUGAACUUUGAACCUAUUUGUGUAGGAUAGGUGGGAGGCUUUGAAACUGGGACGCUAGUCUCAGUGGAGCCAAACUUGAAAUACCACCCUGGUAUGUUUGAGGUUCUAACUCAGGUCCGUAAUCCGGAUCGAGGACACUGUGUGGUGGGUAGUUUGACUGGGGCGGUCUCCUCCCAAAGAGUAACGGAGGAGCACGAAGGUAUGCUAAUCAUGGUCGGAAAUCAUGAGGUUAGUGCAAUGGCAUAAGCAUGCUUAACUGCGAGACAGACACGUCGAGCAGAUACGAAAGUAGGUCAUAGUGAUCCGGUGGUUCUGAAUGGAAGGGCCAUCGCUCAACGGAUAAAAGGUACUCCGGGGAUAACAGGCUGAUACCGCCCAAGAGUUCACAUCGACGGCGGUGUUUGGCACCUCGAUGUCGGCUCAUCACAUCCUGGGGCUGAAGCCGGUCCCAAGGGUAUGGCUGUUCGCCAUUUAAAGUGGUACGCGAGCUGGGUUUAGAACGUCGUGAGACAGUUCGGUCCCUAUCUGCCGUGGACGUUUGAGAUUUGAGAAGAGUUGCUCCUAGUACGAGAGGACCGGAGUGAACGAACCUCUGGUGUUCCGGUUGUCACGCCAGUGGCAUUGCCGGGUAGCUACGUUCGGACAGGAUAACCGCUGAAAGCAUCUAAGCGGGAAGCCCCCUUCAAGAUGAGAUCUCACAGGACUUUAAGUCCCUAAAGAGCCGUUCAAGACUAGGACGUUGAUAGGUUGGGUGUGUAAGCACGGUAACGUGUUGAGCUAACCAAUACUAAUUGCUCGUGAGGCUUGACC
rnacentral:rRNA from 1 species